AGUUUAGCUAAUGUUGCCCGUACCGUAAACCGACACAGGUGGGUGGGAUGAGUAUUCUAAGGCGCGUGGAAGAACUCUCUUUAAGGAACUCUGCAAAAUAGCACCGUAUCUUCGGUAUAAGGUGUGGUUAGCUUCGUACUAGGAUUUACUCCGAAAGCGAAGAAACUUACAACAAAGAGUCCCUCCCGACUGUUUACCAAAAACACAGCACUCUGCUAACUCGUAAGAGGAUGUAUAGGGUGUGACGCCUGCCCGGUGCUCGAAGGUUAAUUGAUGGGGUUAGCAUUAGCGAAGCUCUUGAUCGAAGCCCGAGUAAACGGCGGCCGUAACUAUAACGGUCCUAAGGUAGCGAAAUUCCUUGUCGGUUAAAUACCGACCUGCAUGAAUGGCGUAACGAGAUGGGAGCUGUCUCAAAGAGGGAUCCAGUGAAAUUGUAGUGGAGGUGAAAAUUCCUCCUACCCGCGGCAAGACGGAAAGACCCCGUGGACCUUUACUACAGCUUGACACUGCUACUUGGAUAAGAAUGUGCAGGAUAGGUGGGAGGCUUUGAGUAUAUGACGCCAGUUGUAUAUGAGCCAUUGUUGAGAUACCACUCUUUCUUAUUUGGGUAGCUAACCAGCUUGAGUUAUCCUCAAGUGGGACAAUGUCUGGUGGGUAGUUUGACUGGGGCGGUCGCCUCCCAAAUAAUAACGGAGGCUUACAAAGGUUGGCUCAGAACGGUUGGAAAUCGUUCGUAGAGUAUAAAGGUAUAAGCCAGCUUAACUGCAAGACAUACAAGUCAAGCAGAGACGAAAGUCGGUCUUAGUGAUCCGGUGGUUCUGUGUGGAAGGGCCAUCGCUCAAAGGAUAAAAGGUACCCCGGGGAUAACAGGCUGAUCUCCCCCAAGAGCUCACAUCGACGGGGAGGUUUGGCACCUCGAUGUCGGCUCAUCGCAUCCUGGGGCUGGAGCAGGUCCCAAGGGUAUGGCUGUUCGCCAUUUAAAGCGGUACGCGAGCUGGGUUCAGAACGUCGUGAGACAGUUCGGUCCCUAUCUGCCGUGGGCGUAAGAAGAUUGAAGAGAUUUGACCCUAGUACGAGAGGACCGGGUUGAACAAACCACUGGUGUAGCUGUUGUUCUGCCAAGAGCAUCGCAGCGUAGCUAAGUUUGGAAAGGAUAAACGCUGAAAGCAUCUAAGCGUGAAGCCAACUCUAAGAUGAAUCUUCUCUAAGCUCUCUAGAAGACUACUAGUUUGAUAGGCUGGGUGUGUAAUGGAUGAAAGUCCUUUAGCUGACCAGUACUAAUAGAGCGUUUGGCUUAUCUUUAAUAAAGCAU
rnacentral:rRNA from 1 species